rnacentral:rRNA from 1 species
GAUGAACGCUGGCGGCGUGCCUAACACAUGCAAGUCGAACGAGAUGCGUAUUGGAAAGCUUCGGCCGGAAGAUGCGUUAUCUAGUGGCGGACGGGUGAGUAACACGUGGGUAACCUGCCUUAUGGAGGGGGAUAACAGAGAGAAAUCACUGCUAAUACCGCAUAAGCACACAUUGCCGCAUGGCAGAGUGUGAAAAGAUCUAUCGCCAUAAGAUGGACCCGCGUCUGAUUAGCCAGUUGGCAGGGUAAAAGCCUACCAAAGCAACGAUCAGUAGCCGAUCUGAGAGGAUGCCCAGCCACAUUGGGACUUAGACACGGCCCAAACUCCUACGGAAGGCAGCAGUGGGGAAUAUUGCACAAUGGGGGAAACCCUGAUGCAGCGACGCCGCGUGAGUGAAGAAGUAUUUCAGUAUGUAAAGCUCUAUCAGCAGGGAAGAUAAUGACAGUACCUGACGAAGAAGCCCCGGCUAACUACGUG